ensembl:lncRNA
CACCAUGGACAGCAGUGACCCUCAGGGGGCAUCCCACAUUAUGGGGACCCUCCUGGGACACCCCAUAUUUCAGGGUCCCUUCCUGGGGCACCAUGGACAGCAGUGACCCUCAGGGGGCAUCCCACAUUAUGGGGACCCUCCUGGGGCACCCCCCAUUUCAGAGACCCAUGUGGGGCACCCCAAACCUCAGGGACCCUUCCUGGGCUACCCUGGACUCCAUAGACCCCUGUGGGACAUCCCAUAUUUUGGGGACCCUCCUGGGGCACCCCACAUUUCAGAGACCCAUGUGGGGCACCACAGACUGCAGUGACCCAUGUCGGACACCCCAUAUUUUGGGGACCCUCCUGGGGCUCCCCAGACUGCAGUGACCCUCCGGGGGCACCCCAAAUCUCAGGGACCCUUCCUGGGGUACCCUGGACAGCACAGACCCUCAUUAGGUAGCCCACAUUAUGGGGACCCUCCUGGGGCACCCCACAUUUCAGAGACCCCAUGUGGGGCACCCCAAAUCUCAGGGACCCUUCCUGGGCUACCCUGGACUCCAUAGACCCCUGUGGAACACCCCAUAUUUUGGGGACCCUCCUGGGACACCCCACAUUUCAGGGUCCCUUCCUGGGGCACCUCACAUUUCAGGGACCCUUCCUGGGGCACCACGGACUGCACGGACCCAUGUGGGACACCCCAUAUUUUGGGGACCCAGGUGGGGCACCCCACAUUUCAGAGACCCAUGUGGGGCACCCCAAACCUCAGGGACCCUUCCUGGGGCACCAUGGACUGCACGGACCCAUGUGGGACACCCCAUAUUUUGGGGACCCUCCUGUGGGACCCCACAUUUCAGAGACCCACGUGGGGCACCCCAAAUCUCAGGGUCCCUUCCUAGGGUACCCUGAACUGCAUGGACCCUUAAGGGGCAUCCCAUAUUUUGGGGACCCUCCUGGGACACCCCAUAUUUCAGGGUCCCUUCCUGGGGCACCAUGGACAGCAGUGACCCUCAGGGGGCAUCCCACAUUAUGGGGACCCUCCUGGGACACCCCACAUUUCAGGGACCCAUGUGGGGCACCCCAAACCUCAGGGACCCUUCCUGGGGUACCCUGGACUGCACGGACCCUUGUGGGACACCCCACAUUUCAGGGACCCACAUGGGACACCCCACAUUUCAGGGUCCCUUCCUGGGGCACCAUGGACAGCAGUGACCCUCA